rnacentral:misc_RNA from 1 species
UAAAAGCUGUUGUGAAAGCGUUUUUAGUUUAAUGUAGUGACUUUUUCACGUGUAAAAUAAUACAAUGUAAUGUGAAUGUCUAACGCGAACGUUGGUUUAUCAAGUUUUUAUUAUUUUAUUUACAAGUGGGUCUGAAAGUAGAUUUCUGUUUUAUCUACAAAAUGUUGUUGAGUCCAAAUGAAAUUUUACAAGACGAGGACAUAUCAGGGACAACCACCCCCUUUACAUUCUUCAUAAAGCAAUAGUGAAGUAUCUUCACCGUUCCCUCAUUCUCCCCAAAUACAUAACCAGCUUUACGCUCUUAUUUUUAUUCGAAUUACAACAUCGAUAUACAUACAUGCUUAUCUUUUUAUCAACGAAUAUUCUAAACUUUUGAUUUGUUGUUUAUGUAUUUAUCAAGAAUUUACAAAAAUAAGAUUUUAAGGCAUUUCCUUAAACUUAUAUCAAUCAACCUUUCACUGGCGUAACCUAUAUUUCCUGAAACUACAUUUCGAUCGUUCUUUUUCUGGGAAAAACCGGGAUGGUUUUUUCAUAUGCGGCAGGAAUUUAUAUUCGCACUUGACAUUUGAGUUUUUUUGCUCGUGAAAAACAUACAUUUCAAUAUGAUUUUUUUUAUUUAUUUGAAAUCCAUCUAGGUUGAUUAAAAUAAAUAUUAUAUGAAAAACAAUUUCUAACUGAUUGUUAUCAAAUACAUUAAAUUAAUUUAAGUUAGCUAUUUAUAACUAUUAUUAAUUUUAAUUUUGAUUGAUUUUCCUGUAAUGCUUUGAUUUUCCUAAAAAUUAUUUUCUUUUAUACAUAAAAUGAAUCAAAUAGAAAUUUAUUAUAGAUAUAAAAAAAAAACGAUGUUCAAUAUUUUUUUUUUACAUUUUAAGGGGCAUUCCAAUUGAUUAAUAUUUAAUUGUAUGAUCUUGAAACUUUCAAAUAUUGAUUUGAAAAAAAUAAUUCAAUGAUUUAGAUCUAUUGUGUUCAAUAAAAAUUAUUGUUUCAUUGAGCAAAGGAAAAAUC